rnacentral:rRNA from 1 species
GACGAACGCUGGCGGCGUGCUUAACACAUGCAAGUCGAACGAUGAAGCCGGAGCUUGCUCUGGUGAAUUAGUGGCGAACGGGUGAGUAACACGUGAGUAACCUGCCCUUGACUCUGGGAUAACUGCGGGAAACUGUAGCUAAUACCGGAUACGACCCUCGGAGGCAUCUCCUGGGGGGGGAAGGAAUUUCGGUCAAGGAUGGACUCGCGGCCUAUCAGCUAGUCGGUGAGGUAAAGGCUCACCAAGGCGACGACGGGUAGCCGGCCUGAGAGGGUGACCGGCCACACUGGGACUGAGACACGGCCCAGACUCCUACGGGAGGCAGCAGUGGGGAAUAUUGCACAAUGGGCGCAAGCCUGAUGCAGCAACGCCGCGUGAGGGAUGACGGCCUUCGGGUUGUAAACCUCUUUUAGCAGGGAAGAAGCGAAAGUGACGGUACCUGCAGAAAAAGCACCGGCUAACUACGUGCCAGCCGCCGCAGUAA